rnacentral:rRNA from 1 species
UGCCAGCAGCCGCGGUAAUACGAGGGGUGCAAGCGUUGUUCGGAAUCACUGGGCGUAAAGGGUCCGUAGGCGGAUAUACAAGUCAGAUGUUUAAUUUCGAGGCCUAACUUCGAGUUUGCGUUUGAAACUGUGUAUCUUGAAUAGAUCAGAGGUUGAUGGAAUACCUGGUGUAGCGGUGGAAUGCGUAGAUAUCAGGUAGAACACCAAUGGCGAAGGCAGUCAACUGGGAUCAUAUUGACGCUGAGGGACGAAAGCGUGGGUAGCAAACAGGAUUAGAUA